ensembl:lncRNA novel transcript
CAGCGGAUGCCAUGCCUGGAGCUACCUGCGCAGUGAAAGGCGGUUGGGCUUUGGGGGAGCACAGAGGUCCGGACCUGCUGUUUUCCUUCAUGGGCUUUGCAGCCCCUGACCCUCGCCUCCCCUGUGGUCCUUGGACCUUGGAAUCGCAUGCCUCCAUGCAACAGCUAUGACUCCCUGAGGCGGGAUUGCAAAAACAGUUCAUGUUUAGGCGACAGCAUGCAUCAACGUGGGAAGAAUUGUCCCUCCAUGUCACUGGUUCCGGAAAUGUGAUAUAAUAUAAUAACCCAUUAAUGGAAACCUUGGCUGAGAUGCAAUUGACACAAAGUCUGAAGAUGGGAGUAAGUCCACGUGUGAUGGCCAGCCAUGCCAAAGAGAGACUCGAGCUCAGCUCUGGCUGAAUGACUGCAAAUUGUGAUUUGGAAUAGUCUGCAAUUUCAUCCAUGAGUCACUGAUGUGCCUCUACUUCUCCAAGGGGAUUGCUGGCUCUACAAAAAAAAUUUCCCCUUUCAUUUCCACCAAGUCCUCAGAAUCUUCUAGAAGUUCAAUAACAAUUCCUACCUAAAGCCUGAAUGCUAUUCCUGAGUCAACAGCUGUGUUUGCCUUUUCCCCCCAGUUGUCCUGGCUGCUGGCAGCCAUGAGAUGAAGUCUUGUUUUGUUGCCCAGGCUGCUCUCUAACUCCCGGCCUAAAACAAUCCUCCUGCCUCAGCCUCCCAA